rnacentral:tRNA from 1 species
GGCCGUGUGGCGAAAUGGCAUCGCGUCUGACUACGAAUCAGGCUGACAACCAUGUGUUAAUCAGGAGAUUGCAGGUUCGACCCCUGUCUCGGUCA